rnacentral:rRNA from 1 species
UACGGGGGGGGGCAAGCGUUGUUCGGAAUUACUGGGCGUAAAGGGUUCGUAGGUGGCUUGCUAAGUCAGACGUGAAAUCCCUCAGCUUAACUGGGGAACUGCGUCUGAGACUGGCGAGCUUGAGGGCAGGAGAGGAACACGGAAUUCCAGGUGUAGCGGUGAAAUGCGUAGAUAUCUGGAGGAACACCGGUGGCGAAGGCGGCGUUCUGGACUGCAUCUGACACUGAGGAACGAAAGCCAGGGGAGCAAACGGG